AUGAACGCUAGCGACAGGCUUAACACAUGCAAGUCGAGGGGCAGCGGGGGUAGCAAUACCCGCCGGCGACCGGCGCACGGGUGAGUAACGCGUAUGCAACUUACCUAUCAGAGGGGGAUAACCCGGCGAAAGUCGGACUAAUACCGCAUGAAGCAGGGGCCCCGCAUGGGGAUAUUUGCUAAAGAUUCAUCGCUGAUAGAUAGGCAUGCGUUCCAUUAGGCAGUUGGCGGGGUAACGGCCCACCAAACCGACGAUGGAUAGGGGUUCUGAGAGGAAGGCCCCCCACAUUGGUACUGAGACACGGACCAAACUCCUACGGGAGGCAGCAGUGAGGAAUAUUGGUCAAUGGGCGUAAGCCUGAACCAGCCAAGUCGCGUGAGGGAUGAAGGUUCUAUGGAUCGUAAACCUCUUUUAUAAGGGAAUAAAGUGCGGGACGUGUCCCGUUUUGUAUGUACCUUAUGAAUAAGGAUCGGCUAACUCCGUGCCAGCAGCCGCGGUAAUACGGAGGAUCCGAGCGUUAUCCGGAUUUAUUGGGUUUAAAGGGUGCGUAGGCGGCCUUUUAAGUCAGCGGUGAAAGUCUGUGGCUCAACCAUAGAAUUGCCGUUGAAACUGGGGGGCUUGAGUAUGUUUGAGGCAGGCGGAAUGCGUGGUGUAGCGGUGAAAUGCAUAGAUAUCACGCAGAACCCCGAUUGCGAAGGCAGCCUGCCAAGCCAUUACUGACGCUGAUGCACGAAAGCGUGGGGAUCAAACAGGAUUAGAUACCCUGGUAGUCCACGCAGUAAACGAUGAUCACUAGCUGUUUGCGAUACAGUGUAAGCGGCACAGCGAAAGCGUUAAGUGAUCCACCUGGGGAGUACGCCGGCAACGGUGAAACUCAAAGGAAUUGACGGGGGCCCGCACAAGCGGAGGAACAUGUGGUUUAAUUCGAUGAUACGCGAGGAACCUUACCCGGGUUUGAACGCAUUUCGACCGCUCUGGAAACAGAGCCUCUAGCAAUAGCGAUUUGCGAGGUGCUGCAUGGUUGUCGUCAGCUCGUGCCGUGAGGUGUCGGCUUAAGUGCCAUAACGAGCGCAACCCUUGCCACUAGUUACUAACAGGUAAAGCUGAGGACUCUGGUGGGACUGCCAGCGUAAGCUGCGAGGAAGGCGGGGAUGACGUCAAAUCAGCACGGCCCUUACAUCCGGGGCGACACACGUGUUACAAUGGCGUGGACAAAGGGAUGCCACCUGGCGACAGGGAGCGAAUCCCCAAACCACGUCUCAGUUCGGAUCGGAGUCUGCAACCCGACUCCGUGAAGCUGGAUUCGCUAGUAAUCGCGCAUCAGCCAUGGCGCGGUGAAUACGUUCCCGGGCCUUGUACACACCGCCCGUCAAGCCAUGGGAGCCGGGGGUACCUGAAGUCCGUAACCGAAAGGAUCGGCCUAGGGUAAAACUGGUGACUGGGGCU
rnacentral:rRNA from 1 species